CCCUUGGAGGAAGAAGAAGUCGUCAUCUACAUGUUGACAGGUCUGGAAUCAGAAUAUGAUCUGCUCGUUACAUCUGUCACGACGAGGUCAGAGCCAAUCAACCUCACAGAUCUAUACGCUCAUAUGCCGAGUUUUGAGU